rnacentral:tRNA from 1 species
GGCCGCGUAGCUCAACUGAAUAGAGCACUUGACUACGGAUCAAGAGGUUUUGGGUUUGAACCCCAACGUGGUCA